rnacentral:pre_miRNA from 1 species
ACAAUUCAGCUGCAGAUAUCCGUAAAUACAAAGUGGAUAUCCGCAACUGAAUUGUAG